GGAGGGGGCAAGCGUUAUUCGGAAUUAUUGGGCGUAAAGGGCAGGUAGGCGGCUUUGUGUGUCUUUUGUGAAAGCCCUCGGCUCAACCGAGGAAUUGCAGGAGAAACUACGAAGCUUGAGUCCGGGAGAGGCUAGUGGAAUUCCCAGUGUAGCGGUGAAAUGCGUAGAUAUUGGGAGGAACACCAGUGGCGAAGGCGGCUAGCUGGACCGGUACUGACGCUGAGCUGCGAAAGCUAGGGGAGCAAACGGGAUUAGAUACCCCGGUAGUCCUGGCUGUAAACGUUGAGCACUUGGUGUGGCGGGUAUCGACCCCCCUGCCGUGCCGAAGCUAACGCAUUAAGUGCUCCGCCUGGGGGAGUACGGUCGCAAGGCUG
rnacentral:rRNA from 1 species